UACAGAGGGUGCAAGCAUUAAUCGGAUUUAUUGGGCGUAAAGGGCGCGUAGGCGGGAUGGAAAGUCAGUUGUGAAAUCCUGGAGCUCAACUCCAGAACAGCAAUUGAAACUCCCAUUCUUGAGGGUAGGCGGAGAAAUUGGAAUUCCACGUGUAGCGGUGAAAUGCGUAGAUAUGUGGAAGAACACCGGUGGCGAAGGCGAAUUUCUAGCUUAUUCCUGACGCUGAGGCGCGAAAGCAAGGGGAUCAAACAGG
rnacentral:rRNA from 1 species